AAUGAACGCUGGCGGCGUGGAUUAGGCAUGCAAGUCAAGGGAGAAAGUUCUCUUCGGAGGAUAAGUAAACCGGCGAACUGGUUAGUAACAGGUGGGAACGCGCCUCGAAAACGGGGAUAGCCUCUGGAAACAGGGAUUAAUACCCGAUGUGACCGCGAAGCCUUUCGGGUUUUUCGGUUAAAGGUGCCAUUUUUUAGUGGUGUCGAUUCGAGAUCGCCCCGCCCCCGAUUAGCUAGAUGGUAAGGUAAAAGCUUACCAUGGCGACGAUCGGUAGCUGGUCUGAGAGGAUGGUCAGCAACACUGGGACUGAGAUACGGCCCAG
rnacentral:rRNA from 1 species